GUGCCACGGGGCCACCAAAUUUAUAUGCGCAUAUUAUUAUCUGGUAGCUAACUGUCUCCUCCACUCACAUUUCUCGUUCAUUACAGGCUGUGUUAAGGAAUUCUCAUCCCAUUCUCCCCUUGUUUCAAAUUCUAGAACAGAAAAGAAUAAAAUUAUGUGUAACUAACAGAGCUUUAGGAAAAGGAGCUGAUCAAGAUGCUUCUUGUAACCUCCUCUCUCUGUGCAGGAAAUAAAUACUCUGUAUUUGGGGUACGGUUCUUAAAGUUUCAGAGAUCCAAAAGGAUACACCUUACAUUGAUCAAAAGUUUGACUGUAUGCUCAAGCAGUGCUACAAGUAAUGCCUCUUUUUCUUCUGCAAUUAAGUUAGUUGAUGCACAAGUUCUGUACUGUUUGGCACCUGCCUUGGGCCAUAACCAGGGGAUUGGGGGUGGGGGAGGGAGACAAUUUUGUCCAUGCUUGUGGACUUUGCAAAUUAAUAUUUUUCAUGAUCUUGGUGCGCACAGCUUUGAUUUUUUUACCAUCUCUUUAGGAUGUUGGGAAUUUUAGGAAUCUCACCCAGAAUGCAAUUCUAGACUUUCAGCAAUUGCAAAUGCUCUUGACAAAAUGAAGCUUUCAUCAAAGCUUUUAGCAGGGUCACGAGUUCCUCCAACUUUGGAGCACUCUCACGAGCAGCAAGAGAUGACACAAACACCUCCCAUGAGGCGGGGAGAGUGUUCAAGAGGUGAACCACUUGCAUGGGCUCAAUGGGCUUCAUGUUGAUUGCCUCCAAUUCACAAAUCAAGGCUUGAAAGAUAUGCACGUGCUCUGCGAUCUUUCCUCCUUUUGCCAUCUUCAAGUCAUUUUACUUCCUCAUAGCUAGAGUCUUCCUCACGAGAAAGGGAUCAACAAAUUUUUUCUUGAAUUUCUCUUGCAUGACCUUAGCGGUUUUUAGGGUUUCAUACUUCGAAGUGUGGGAGUCGUGCAUAACCGCAAGGAGGAUAUGUCCAGCGAGCAUGUUUUUUGCACUCCCAUUGUGCAUAUGUAUCCCUUGUGGCCUGGGAUGCAUUCCCUCUAAGCUCUGGGGGUGGAUUCUCAGUGAGGAAUUUAUGUAGACCUUCCUCAUAGAACACAUAACCAAUCUUACACUUCCACAAGGAAUAAUUUGUUCCAUCAGAUCUUUUGGUUUUCAAGAUUUCAGCUAUAAAAUUCUUGGCUAGCAUCCUUCCUUUCUAAAAAAUACACGAAAACGAUCGAAAAUAAAAGGAAAUGUGGUAGUAAGAAAUCUGGCUUUGAUACCAAUGAAAGGUGGACUAUGUGAUCUAGCCAAAUAUGUGUAGUUUAAAAUUUUUCUCUUUUUCUUUUAUUAUACCGGCUGGAACACUUACAUGUGUCCAAGCAUUACAACUUUUUAAGUUAACAAAUUUUUUAAAAAAUAAAGAGUUACAACUUUGAUUCAAAGGGAGUAAAGAAAAUAAAGAAAGAAGAGGAUUCUCACUUGCUUGUUACACACAAAACUUCUUCAAUUACAUAGAACGGAUAGUAAAGAUAAUAAAGAAAGAAGAGGAUUCUUACUUGCUUGCCACACACAAAACUUCUUUCAUUGCAUAUAACAUAAUUACAUCCAAGAAGAUUUGAGAACAAGAAAGCAUGAAAAAGAUGAAAAGCCAGAAUAACUGCCAAGGAUUACCUCCAAGGACUUUGUACACCCCACAUUGGGUCCCUUUCAACAUUGGUGCACCGGAUCUUGGUCUAUCACUGAGUUCUAUUGAAUGAAAAGCCUAGGCAAACCCUUACUCAAAACAUGGGAGCAUGAAGCACAAUGGGAUAGGGAGCUUAGGGUUAACAAUGGCUAAGGCGUGGCCCCCUCUACUAUUAUUAUUUAAAAUCGUAAGAUUGAAAAUUAAAACAUAAGAGAAGAGGGUGAGACAGAGAGUGGCAUACCUGUCCUUGG